CAGCGGGCGAAGAAGAUGACCGGCGAAAGACGCGCGGGCGCCAUUGCGCCGAGCUAGGGGUUGGCGGCUGAGUGCCGGGGGGUGAGGAUUUGUCACCGCGCUGAAUGCCGCAUUGCGGGGUUUUUGCCGCUGUACACACAAAAGACGUUGCACAUCGUGCCACGCCAUGCAAGAUAAUUAGACGGGUCCGUAGACUUGAGCUUGACUCGGUGGCGCACACCAAAGCCGGUGCAGUCAGCUUUAGUCGCUAAUUUUUAAAAAGGCCCACCCCCCCAAACAAGUGCAAAAAAGUUUACAAUGACGCGACAAAGGCAAGACAAAUGUUGCUGAAUACAAAAUGAGCCACUUCGCGGACUGUUAUAACCGCAAAAAAAAUUGUUAGAAUGAAACGCAUUGUAUUGUAUCGCCUGAUUUAGCUACAGACUUGAGAUGCCAUUGGAUAAAACUGCCGCUGCCUGGCUGUUAGUACAGACGGGCCAGACAAUGGAGCAGCAGGCGCUCCCAGACACAGACAAAGGGACGUCUGUCUCGGUCUCCCCUUCCCUCCGCCCCCCCCUGCCCACCCCACCCCUUAAUCCUGUCUGAGCCAAGGCCAAGUUCAUUACCAUCAAGCCACCAAUUAACGGCUCUUACUAAAACAGCCACUGAUUGGACCGCAGGAGAGACACCAAAGUAUCGCAUAGACACAUACUUUGCAGUACAAGCAUGUUUCAUUGGCUAAUGAGAUUCGCACAGUAACGAGCCGCGCUAGCAGACGGAGCUGACUUGUUCGUUCGCGUUAGUGGGGAAAGUACUCGUGGCUAAUAUCGCCGUUGCCAUAGUGCGGCUCAUUUGCCUAGAGCUUAAAUCAUGCAGAAGCGCCGGUUCUUACCCAUGAUGAGACGUUGGCUUGCUGCCCAGCGUUAAGUCCGUUUCCCACCGUCCGAAACAAAGGACAAGCCAGCGUGCCGGGCGGGCGAGCAGGCGGCGUGGAGCGGCGGCGGCGGCGGCGACGAGGCAGCAUCACCACACCGAGCCACGCCGCAGCGGCAAGCCACCAGCGUACCCCCCCCCCCAGCCGCCAGCGUCCCCGCCGGGUCCUGCACGACGCGGACCGGGCCUUCCACUACCCCCCCUCCCGCCCCCCACCGCCCCACACCGUCCUGCCGGCUGAGUAGAACCUUUGACUGUCUCUCUCUGUCUGUUACCCAUGAUAAUUAAAACACGGGGACGAGGUAGAGCGAGCGAGGAACGGCCGCCGCGUGUGCGACGGCUGAAUCUAAAAGCUAAAAAGAAAAAGAGACUUAGCGGUGCUGGUGAAAUUGGAUAUAAGAACGGUAACGCGGAAAUUGCGAGAUCGAAAAAACUAAGAACGAAGAACCGAACAAAUACGGAGAACGCAUCGUUCAGAGAUAUGCCGAAUAUUGUUUUACUGUGCUUGCAGACUUCGGCAGCUGUAUUCGAAUGGAAAUGUGGGAUCUUUUAAACAAUAGUUUAAUAUCGACAUCAGGGCAAAAUCAGAAAUACGUACGUUUUAGGAAAUACGACAUCGCAAAUAAACCAGAAAAGUAAGUUUUUUUUUAAAAACGUCUCUAUUGCAAAGAAAUAUGUACGUAAAAGUUACUCGCCAACAUCGCUGAACUACUUUUUAAAAGUUUAUUUUAAUCUGUGUAUUUAUAAUUUGCCAAAUGUAAUCAAAACAAAGCAUCGAUAGCAUUUAUUGUUGUACUCCGCUGUGCUUCCUAAGCGAUUCAUGCUGGACACUUACACAGGCGGCGAACUUGAAUGAAAACAUUCCCAGUAUAAAAAAGCCCAUUGUUUAUGCUAGCGCAAUACGUAACGUUAAAUUCGAAAAAUUUGUUUUAAGGAGCAAUUAAGUGCAUUAUUAUUGAUUAUUACUAAAUGAUUGCUAUUACUAAGUCACCUCCCUGCAUCGCUAAUAUACAUGUUGUAACGUCUGAAAUGUAGAACAGAAAAUACAUAUUUUCCUCGUUAAACGGGCCUCACCUCACAUUGCGAUUUAGACUGUGUUAUCGUAUUUAAGACUGUGGUGUGAGUUGAUAGUAUAUUAUUAUUUCCUUGAUGUUGAAUUAAUGAGACGUUUAUAGCGCACAUAAUUAGAAGUGUAUAACGUAUUCCGUUUCAACAAUUUGGAGAUGCCAACUGGAUAUUUUUAAGGUCUCGCGUCCUACAAAUUCUAGAUUUAUUAUGAAUAAUGAUGUUUCCAUCCAAUGUAAUGAACAUUUAACGAGAAAUCGGAGAAUUUGACUAAUACUGUCUUGUUUAGAGGAAACGCUUUGAACAUACACUUGGACGAUGCUGUUACAAACAAUGCACUCAACUGGUAUGCACGCACUCUAUAUAUAUAUAUAUAUACACACCAUAAAGCUGAAUGUAUAAAAACAUUUUAAAAAAUUUGUUCUCGCAAAAAGCAGUAAUAUAAUGAGAAUUUCCCAUUAUAUGCAGUGUGCUAAACGGUUUCUGUAAAAUGUACGGAAUCCAUUUGAGGUGAAAGGCCUACACAAAUGACAAGUCACACCUGGUAAAUGCCUGAGGCAAAAACUUUAAAACAUCUCUUUUAUACAGCGACUAAAGGUUUUAAAGUCGGGAGUGUUGCAAAUGUAAAAUAAUCGAAUGACGUCUAUCCCUCCAAAGUCCAAGAAACUAGAUAACGAACACUUAAAAGGCAUCAGUUAUAUAAUUUAAUACUGUGGUUUGACAACACAGAAGGGUAUACUACAAAACAAGUAUAUACAUAAUGGAUUGAAAAUGUGAUGUCAUAUUGGUGUAACAGAUCUUUACAGUACUGUAUAUAAUAACAUGUAACUAUAUUAUUAAUGUGGUAACGUGACGAGAAAAAAUAUUGAAAUAGAUCUUUAAAAAUACCAAGGAGCAUUUUAUGAAAUAGUCCUUUUCGUGAAUAAAGACAUCAUUUGUUCCUCUUCA